rnacentral:rRNA from 1 species
GCGAACGCUGGCGGCGUGCUUAACACAUGCAAGUCGAACGGUGAACUCCGCUUGCGGGGGGAUCAGUGGCGAACGGGUGAGUAACACGUGGGCAACCUGCCCUCAGCUCUGGGAUAACUCCAAGAAAUUGGGGCUAAUACCGGAUAUGACCGCUGACCGCAUGGUCUGGUGGUGGAAAGAUUUAUCGGCUGGGGAUGGGCCCGCGGCCUAUCAGCUUGUUGGUGGGGUAGUGGCCUACCAAGGCGACGACGGGUAGCCGGCCUGAGAGGGUGACCGGCCACACUGGGACUGAGACACGGCCCAGACUCCUACGGGAGGCAGCAGUGGGGAAUAUUGCGCAAUGGGCGAAAGCCUGACGCAGCGACGCCGCGUGGGGGAUGACGGCCUUCGGGUUGUAAACCUCUUUCAGCAGGGACGAAGCGAAAGUGACGGUACCUGCAGAAGAAGCACCGGCCAACUACGU